UCCUACGGGAGGCAGCAGUAGGGAAUCUUCGGCAAUGGGCGAAAGCCUGACCGAGCAACGCCGCGUGAAUGAUGAAGGCCUUCGGGUUGUAAAAUUCUGUUAUAAGGGAAGAACGACUUUAGUAGGAAAUGGCUAGAGUGUGACGGUACCUUAUGAGAAAGCCACGGCUAACUACGUGCCAGCAGCCGCGGUAAUACGUAGGUGGCGAGCGUUAUCCGGAAUUAUUGGGCGUAAAGAGCGCGCAGGUGGUUGAUUAAGUCUGAUGUGAAAGCCCACGGCUUAACCGUGGAGGGUCAUUGGAAACUGGUCGACUUGAGUGCAGAAGAGGGAAGUGGAAUUCCAUGUGUAGCGGUGAAAUGCGUAGAGAUAUGGAGGAACACCAGUGGCGAAGGCGGCUUCCUGGUCUGUAACUGACACUGAGGCGCGAAAGCGUGGGGAGCAAACAGGAUUAGAUACCCUGGUAGUCCACGCCGUAAACGAUGAGUGCUAAGUGUUGGGGGUCGAACCUCAGUGCUGAAGUUAACGCAUUAAGCACUCCGCCUGGGGAGUACGGUCGCAAGACUGAAACUCAAAGGAAUUGACGG
rnacentral:rRNA from 1 species